ensembl:lncRNA
CCACAGAACCCAAAGAUGGCUGACCUUCCACCCUGCAGGCUACGUCUGUUCAAGCCACCAUUCUUCUCCACUGGCGUAGACUGCUUCGGGCCCUUUCAGGUGAAGAUAGGUCGACGUCAAGAAAAGAGAUGGGGGAUCUUAUAUAAGUGCUUGACGACCAGAUGUUUACAUCUUGAUCUCCUUGAACACCUAGACACAGACGCCUUUCUCCUGUCUUUACGACGCUUUAUAGCCCGCAGAGGGAAGCCCUUCGAGAUACUAUGUGACAACGGCACCAACUUCACUGGAGGCGAUCAUGAGUUAAGAGAAUCCUUUAGUCAAAUGACACCUGAACUUCAGACACAACUGGCUAAACAGCAGAUCCAGUUUCGCUAUAUCCCACCGAGCGCCCCUCAUUUUGGCGGUACAUGGGAGCGAGAGGUGAAGUCAGUUAAGACUGCUUUGCGAGUCAUUUUACGGGAACAAUCCGUGCCUGAAUCUGUGCUGCAAACAUUACUAGUGGAAGUAGAGGGCAUACUCAAUUCCAAGCCACUUGGCUAUGUUUCAUCGGACAUUGCAGACCCGGACCCUGUGACCCCGAACAUGUUACUCAUGGGACGCCGUGAUGCCUCCUUACCACAAGUCCUUUAUGACUCCAACGAGCUCUUGGGCAAACGCAGGUGGCGACAUAGCCAGGUAUUGGCUGAUCAGUUCUGGACUGCUUUCAUACGCAGCUAUCUACCAGAACUACAGGGCAGACAGAAAUGGACAUCGGAUGGCAAAGGGUUGGCAGUAGGACAAGUGGUGCUCCUAAUUGACCAUCAACUCCCACGAGCACUAUGGCCUGUGGGUACCGUGACAGAGACCUAUGCAGGAGCAGACAAGAGGAUUCGGACAGCUAAAGUCAAAGUCAAGGACAAAAUGUAUCUGCGUCCUGUUGUGAAACUGAUUCCACUUCCUCCAAAGAGGGAUGAGGAUAAAGACACUUUGGAUGGCCUUUCUUAAGGGCUACAAUUAGCCUGCUGGUAAUUGGGGGCGGCAAUGUCAGAAAGACCACCGGAACGGAAAUUAAGAAACGGUUUCUGACGGACUGAUAUUGUAGUUGCUACUUCCAGUAGACUGAUGCAAUAGCCAGAUACAGACGUGCGCUCUCCAUUAUUGUUCAGUGUUGUGCGUUUAUGCAAACAAAUACCACAACGCAAUAACCUGUGUCAAAU